GAUGAACGCUGGCGGCGUGCCUAAUACAUGCAAGUCGAGCGAACAGACGAGGAGCUUGCUCCUCUGACGUUAGCGGCGGACGGGUGAGUAACACGUGGAUAACCUACCUAUAAGACUGGGAUAACUUCGGGAAACCGGAGCUAAUACCGGAUAAUAUAUUGAACCGCAUUGUUCAAUAGUGAAAGACGGUUUUGCUGUCACUUAUAGAUGGAUCCGCGCCGCAUUAGCUAGUUGGUAAGGUAACGGCUUACCAAGGCAACGAUGCGUAGCCGACCUGAGAGGGUGAUCGGCCACACUGGAACUGAGACACGGUCCAGACUCCUACGGGAGGCAGCAGUAGGGAAUCUUCCGCAAUGGGCGAAAGCCUGACGGAGCAACGCCGCGUGAGUGAUGAAGGUCUUCGGAUCGUAAAACUCUGUUAUCAGGGAAGAACAAAUGUGUAAGUAACUAUGCACGUCUUGACGGUACCUAAUCAGAAAGCCACGGCUAACUACGUG
rnacentral:rRNA from 1 species